rnacentral:rRNA from 1 species
UACGUAGGGUGCAAGCGUUGUCCGGAAUUAUUGGGCGUAAAGAGCUCGUAGGCGGUUUGUCGCGUCUGCUGUGAAAUCCCGAGGCUCAACCUCGGGCCUGCAGUGGGUACGGGCAGACUAGAGUGCGGUAGGGGAGAUUGGAAUUCCUGGUGUAGCGGUGGAAUGCGCAGAUAUCAGGAGGAACACCGGUGGCGAAGGCGGGUCUCUGGGCCGAUACUGACGCUGAGGAGCGAAAGCGUGGGGAGCAAACAGG